UCCGGUGACGAUACGCCCAGGGGUCACACCCGUACCCAUCCCGAACACGAUGGUUAAGACCUGGGAGGCCGAUGAUACUAUGCUGGAGACGGCAUGGGAAAGCAGGUGGCUGCCGGAU
rnacentral:rRNA from 1 species